AAUUUAAAAUCUGGUGGCCUUUGUCCAUCCGAGUUGUAAUUUAGAGAAGCGUCUUCCGCGCUGGACCGUGCACAAGUCUCCUGGAACGGAGCGUCAUAGAGGGUGAGAAUCCCGUCUUUGGCACGGACACACCAGGGCUUUUGUGAUGCGCUCUCAAAGAGUCGAGUUGUUUGGGAAUGCAGCUCAAAAUGGGUGGUGAACUCCAUCUAAAGCUAAAUAUUGGCGAGAGACCGAUAGCGAACAAGUACCGUGAGGGAAAGAUGAAAAGCACUUUGGAAAGAGAGUGAAACAGUACGUGAAAUUGUUGAAAGGGAAACGCUUGAAGUCAGUCGCGUCGCCCGAGACUCAGCCUUGCCUCGGCUUGGUGUACUUCUCGGCUGACGGGUCAGCAUCAAUUUUGCCCCUUGGAUAAUGGCGAGGGAAAUGUGACACCUUUACGGGUGUGUUAUAGUCUCUCGUCGCAUGCAAGGGUCGGGAUUGAGGAACUCAGCACGCGCCCUCGGGCGUCGGGGCAUCUGCCCACGAUACGUGCUUAGGAUGUUGGCGUAAUGGCUUUAAACGACCCGUCUUGAAACACGGACCAAGGAGUCUAACAUGCCCGCGAGUGUUCGGGUGGAAAACCCGUGCGCGCAAUGAAAGUGAAAGUUGGGACCUCUGUCGUGGAGGGCACCGACGCCCGGACCAGACCUUCUGUGACGGAUCUGCGGUAGAGCGUGUAUGUUAGGACCCGAAAGAUGGUGAACUAUGCCUGAAUAGGGUGAAGCCAGAGGAAACUCUGGUGGAGGCUCGUAGGGAUUCUGACGUGCAAAUCGUUCGUCAAAUUUGGGUAUAGGGGCGAAAGACUAAUCGAACCAUCUAGUAGGUGGUUCCUG
rnacentral:rRNA from 2 species